GGGAAGGUGGCUCAGUGGUAGAGUGCUUGCCUUGCAUGCAUGAGGCCCUGGGUUCGAUUCCUCAGUGGUGCUG
rnacentral:tRNA from 1 species